rnacentral:rRNA from 1 species
AACGAACGCUGGCGGCAGGCUUAACACAUGCAAGUCGAGCGCCCCGCAAGGGGCGCGGCCGUCGGGUGAGUAACGCGUGGGAACGUACCUUUUGGUUCGGAACAACUCCGGGAAACUGGAGCUAAUACCGGAUAAGCCCUAACGGGGAAAGAUUUAUCGCCGAAAAAUCGGCCCGCGUCUGAUUAGCUAGUUGGUGAGGUAACGGCUCACCAAGGCGACGAUCAGUAGCUGGUCUGAGAGGAUGAUCAGCCACACUGGGACUGAGACACGGCCCAGACUCCUACGGAGGGGAGCAGUGGGGAAUAUUAGAGAAUGGGCGCAAGCCUAAUCCAGCCAUGCCGGGUGAGUGAUGAAGGCCUUAGGGUUGUAAAGCUCUUUUGUCCGGGAAGAUAAUGACGGUACCGGAAGAAUAAGCCCCGGCUAACUUCGUG